CUUCCCUUGAGCGGGGGACAACGAGGCGAAAGCCUCGCUAAUACCGCAUACGUAUCUUUGGACUUUGGUCUGAAGGUGGAAAGCUAGGCCGCAAGGUCCGGCACUCGAGGAGGAGCCUGCGUCGCAUCAGCUAGUUGGUGGGGUAACGGCCUACCAAGGCGAAGACGCGUAGCUGGUCUGAGAGGAUGAUCGGCCACACUGGGACUGAGACACGGCCCAG
rnacentral:rRNA from 1 species